rnacentral:tRNA from 2 species
GCGCCAGUAGCUCAGCGGAUUAGAGCACUUGUCUUCGGAACAAGGUGUCGUGGGUUCGAGUCCCUCCUGGCGCA